UUUUCGGCAGCGUUGGUUUGUUUGUUUGUCUGUGAACAACUUUACGGAGAAAGUAACAGAUGGAUUGACCUGAAAAUUUCACCAGAGGUGCGUCUCAGCCCCAGGAAGAUCCCAUAAAAUUUUGGUGAUCCAGACAAAAUUCUGGAUACUGUGAUCCGGAACACACAAAAAUAUGGGUGUCGUUGCAAUUUUCAAUGCUGAAAGAUAAGCAAUGGGUGGCACAGUGGUGUAGUGGUUAGCACUGUGGCCUCACAACCAGAAGGUUUUGGGUUCAAAUCCUGGUCAGGGCAUUUCUUGUUUAAGGGGGGACAUGAGCUGCUUUGCGGAGGUCUGCGCUCUCCGAGUGCUUUUCUAGUUUGUCUGUUAGCAACUUUACGGAGAAAGUUACUGACGGAUUGACCUGAAAUUUUCACCAGAGGUGCGUCUCAGCCCCAGGAGAAUCCCAUUACAUUUUGGUGGUGAUCCGGAUCGUCAUCUGGAUCCAGGAAUUUUUUGAAGGAUUCUUUAUCAUUGUGAGAUAGGGCAAAUUUUGGAAUUUUUGCAUUUAACUCUAUAAAAAUGUCCAGAGUCUUUAGUAAAAAACACAAAAGGAUCUCAAUGAGUUUUAUGAGGUGUCAAAGGUUGAUCCUGAUCCAGACAAAAUUCCGGAUACUGUGAUCCAGAACACACAAAAAUAAGGGUGACGUUGGAAUUUUCAAUGCUGAAAGAUAACCACUGAAGAUACAAGGAAGUGUACGCUUAUAAAUAUUGCAUAAUAAAUCAUGGAUUUAUGUAUCUAAUAUGAGCUUUGUUGUUUUAGGAACAUUAUGAACAGUAAACACACCAGUUUAAACACCAAAGUUUAUAAAAGACACGUAACAGUAAACGUUUUGGUGUGAAUCACAAUAUAAGGAGGGACAUGAGCUGCUUGGCGGAGGUCUGUGCUCUCCGAGUGCUUUUCUAGUCGGUUUUGUGAGCCAAAUUUAUUUUCAUCCUCAGCAGGUCAGAUGACAAACCGAAGACCGAGAGCUGCAGCAAAAGUUUCUAAUUCAACCAUCAAAGUUAGAUAUUUUAUAAAAAUUUAGUUUGUAGACAAAAAAAGAUCCUUGAAACAUUCCUCUCUCAUCACAACUCCGAAAUCAACUAAACAAUCUGAUGAGAAAGUGUCAGCUAACAAAGUCUUUUAUUUACAUGCAUUAGUUAUACGUGGUGAUAUGGCCCUAUUUAUGAAUACAGGUGCAUACAUGAAAAGCUGAGGCAGGGAGAGCAGCAGCAAAGACUUGGGGUACAACACAGAGCAGACAUUAGUGACAAUACAUAAGACACUGCAACAUUUAGUUACAGCAUGAAAGAAGGAGCUGGAGUGAAGGCUAGCUGCACAGCAAUCUGCAGAGAAUAGGCAAAGAAAACCACUGACACUAGCUGAGCUGUAAAGAUCAGCUCAUGUUUUGUGGGCUGAGAUUGACUUUGUGGCCUGCCUGAACUAAUACUGCACUCAGGUUUUGGGAUUUUCCCAUUCUACUCAGCUAAGGUGACCGCAGGAACCAGGGUCUAAAUUUAGUUCUGGGAAAGAGGAUCUCCCCCUUGAAAAGCCCCUGCUUUGAGGGUCUGAUGAUUUCUUGACAUCUAAAAUGCAGUUAAUUUGCAUUGAGAUACUGGCAGACACACAGAGGAGGAUAACCUAAUAUCAUCUGAACAGUAAAACUAUGUACACGAGUUUUGUACCAUCCUUAGAUGCCAUUAUUGAAUUUAACAUUUUAAAUCAUGUUGUUUUUUCAUGCCUUGUUUAAUUAUGAUUUUUUUGAAUGACUUCCAAACUUUUGGCCUGUACUGUACAUUUCUGGGUGUGAUAAUUGAUCACUGAUUGUAAAUAAUGUUGAAAGUAAGAAGUCCUAAAGUGACACCUAAGGACAUUGUUGAUCAAAAGUCUCUUCCCUGAAACUUUGGGUGAGCUUACCUCUGGACUUUUGUCUCUUCAGCACUUUGCAGACCUGCACGUAAAACCUCUCUGUCAGGUAUGGGACUAGAUCAUAUCCCAGCAUGCACAGGAGCUUGGACCUCCUGCAGUGAAGCUGAAUAAGUACAUUUUCCAGUUCCCCCAAAUACAUUUAAAAUCCAAAUACACAAGGAAACUAGCUUUAAAAUUUUUUAUUAGCUUUAAAAUAUACAUCAGUUUACAAGCUCAGAAAAUAAAAUUAUAAGUAGAAUUUUAACAGUCUUUUUUGUCAUUUAGUUUUUCGUCAUUUUUAAAAUUUUAUUUCCAACAGGAAGUGAAACAAUCAAUCAGACCGGGAAAAACCCACCGACACAAUCAGAGGAACACGUGAACAAACAUGAGCAGAGAAAACAGUUCAGAUAACCCUGAAGGCACCACAGUCGGGGUCAGAGAUCAAACUGUGUGAUUGACAGCACCUGUGGGUGGAGAGCAAGGAGGCAGGGUUACAAUCUGCUGAAUGUGAAGUUCAGCUUCAAAACAUCCAACCAUGAAUAUUAAUACAAACACUCCUCAGACCUCCUCCAUCCAGUCCAGUUCUCAGUUUCUUGGAAAAGUUCCACAUUUCAUCCAUCCUCAGGUGAGUCCACCUCCUGAUUGUGUGCCUGAGCUGUGGCCCGUGCCUUGUUGAGGUCCUCAGCUCUGCACACAGCUGCUUGUUUCCUGUCUGUUUGUGAGCCCAAAUGCUAGCUGUGCAGAACACCAACCAGCACAGUGACAGAAUAAUCUCAGAGCAGGCUAAUGAAGCAAGCAAGCUAAUGUUGGCCAGGUUAGCACAGACAAAUUACUAGUUUAUCUACUAGCUAGUGUUUGCAAGCUUCUUAUAUGGCGUUUUGCAACAAAAAAACUAAAAUAAAUAAAUAAAACAGGAAACUUUAAUGGGGGAAAUGUGUAUAUUGUAAUACACAGAUGGACACUCGAUGUUGUGGCGGGUGAGUUAAACCCCUGCAUCUAAGAAACAAUGGUGCACUAAACUUAAGACCAUCCUGAGUCAGCCUACAGCAAUCUGUGACCUGCAACAUAAACUAAAGGGCCUGCUUAGUGGGCAUUUUAACCUUUGUAACAUCUUGCCCAAGUGUGAUCAAGUUCACCCAUUUAUUAAGCAACUCAAACGUUGACUUUUUAUGCUUGUCUGAGACCUGGUUAAACUUGACCUCUCUGGUGGUUGGGCUGCAUGUACCAGGCCACAAUAAAUACAGAAAUGAUCAGAAGGGGAAUAGGAGUGGGGGAGUAAUGUUAUAGACAAGGGAUCACCUAAAGUGCAGUCAGACAGUAUAGAAGUGGACACAUUACCUUGAAUGUAUCCGUCUUUAUAUAUCUCUCUCUCCACAAAUGAUAAUAACUCUAACUGGGAUGUAUAGACACCAACAACAUGUUUUAUAAGGAGUCGCAGUUAAUAGUCAAGGAAUGCGGCUCUAUGAAUGAAAUCAUACUACUUGGCUAUUUAAACAUAAACUGGUUAGAUAUGAUAAUUAGGAAACAUUUUAAAUCACUAGCGUCCACCAGAUUAACUGCCUCCUCUGAAACCUGCAUAGACCUUGUUUUCACAAAUAAGCCUGAGUGAAUCCCAAAGUCCUUUAAUUCAAUAACUGGUUUAUCAGACCAUAACCUGAUCCUGUUCUCCAAGAAACUUCCCAAAAACAGAUUAAUCCACUCCCACAUUAGAUCUGAGCAAAUGAGAAUACCUAAGAGGGAGAUUCCAAAUCUAACACAGGCAAUACAAAACAAUAAUUGGGCUGAACAUCUUACUCAUACAAAUGUCAAUAGCAACUCUAAUAUUUUUAUGAUUGUGAUACAAGGAAAAAAAUUCUGCAUUCAUGAGGAAAAUCAAAAUUAAACCAUCAAACAAAGAAUCACUUCCCCUGGUUAAAUGAAAAUUUAUGGUCACUGAUGAAAAAACGAGACCAUGCACUAAAAAUAUUGCUAAAAACUGGUAGGUUAAACGACGGACAAGUAUUCUCCUUACUUAGAAACAAGGUAGUUCGAGGUAUGGUAUGAAAUGAAAUCCUGCUGCCCCUUUUUUGAAUCUAUGUGUGGUCUCUCAAUCCCAGGUUGAUGGGAUGAAGGCCAAAGAUUUAUCUGGCAUGGACAUCAUGUUUCUGACAAACACUGCUUUUUAGUAUAUUUAUUAAUGACUUCCCAAGUUGUUGUCCUUCAAAUGUAAUCUGUCUAAUGUAUGUUCAUGCAAAAGACAGUGAGCAAACUGUCCAGGAAUUGAUUUGUACCAAGACUAAUGUGUAUCACUGGCUUGAGAGCUCUCAGCUGCAUCUCAACAUCUUCAAAACAGGAGUGUGAGAGGCGUCGACUUAUAGUUAAAGAAAAACUGAAUGGGACUUGGGUAUUGUAACUUGUAAGUUUUUAACUUGUAAAAACUUGACCUCUGACUUGCUCAUUAUAAGUAAAAAAAAAUUGAAGACAUUUAAGAAAGAUUAAUAUUUUUGAUUUAGUUAAGAACUCAGGCCUGACUGCUGGCCUUUAAUAUUUUCAAAUAUGAUGAUUCUGGACUUAUCAGCAAAGACUUUCUUCUAACCCAUAAAAUACUUAGAUUUGAGUUUUUGCAGUGUCCUGUUAAACAUUGUUGCCAGCCUGAUAAGUC
rnacentral:lncRNA from 1 species